GGCGGCAUGCCUAACAUGCAGUCGAACGGAGGGCUUCGGCCCUGAGUGGCGGACGGGUGAGUAACGCGUAGGAAUCUGCCCGCGGGUGGGGGACAACCUGGGGAAACCCAGGCUAAUACCGCAUGAGCUCGCGAGAGGAAAGCGGGGGACCUUCGGGCCUCGCGCCGGCGGAGGAGCCUACGUCCGAUUAGCUGGUUGGUGGGGUAAGGGCCCACCAAGGCGACGAUCGGUAGCUGGUCUGAGAGGACGAUCAGCCACACUGGGACUGAGACACGGCCCAGACUCCUACGGGAGGCAGCAGUGGGGAAUCUUGGACAAUGGGCGCAAGCCUGAUCCAGCAAUGCCGCGUGGGUGAAGACGGCCUGCGGGUUGUAAAGCCCUUUGGGUGGGGAAGAACGGCCGGCGGCGAACAGCGGUCGGUCUUGACAUUACCCACGGAACAAGCACCGGCUAACUCCGUGCCAGCAGCCGCGGUAAUACGGAGGGUGCGAGCGUUAAUCGGAAUUACUGGGCGUAAAGCGUGCGUAGGCGGUUCGGUCAGGUCAGCCGUGAAAGCCCGGGCUCAACCUGGGAACGGCGGUUUGANACGGCCGGACUUGGAGUGGGCCAAGGAUCGUUGGAAUUCCGGGG
rnacentral:rRNA from 1 species